AAUAAAAUGGCUGAGGUGUAAGCGAUAGAUUGUAAAUUUAUUUACGAGAAAUAUUUCUCUUUUAUUA
rnacentral:tRNA from 1 species